GACGAACGCUGGCGGCGUGCUUAACACAUGCAAGUCGAACGGAAAGGCCCUGCUUUUGUGGGGUGCUCGAGUGGCGAACGGGUGAGUAACACGUGAGUAACCUGCCCUUGACUUUGGGAUAACUUCAGGAAACUGGGGCUAAUACCGGAUAGGAGCUCCUGCUGCAUGGUGGGGGUUGGAAAGUUUCGGCGGUUGGGGAUGGACUCGCGGCUUAUCAGCUUGUUGGUGGGGUAGUGGCUUACCAAGGCUUUGACGGGUAGCCGGCCUGAGAGGGUGACCGGGCACAUUGGGACUGAGAUACGGCCCAGACUCCUACGGGAGGCAGCAGUGGGGAAUAUUGCACAGUGGGCGGAAGCCUGAUGCAGCAACGCCGCGUGCGGGAUGACGGCCUUCGGGUUGUAAACCGCUUUCGCCUGUGACGAAGCGUGAGUGACGGUAAUGGGUAAAGAAGCACCGGCUAACUACGUG
rnacentral:rRNA from 1 species